rnacentral:rRNA from 1 species
UGGCUCAGAUUGAACGCUGGCGGCAUGCCUUACACAUGCAAGUCGAACGGCAGCACGGGUGCUUGCACCUGGUGGCGAGUGGCGAACGGGUGAGUAAUAUAUCGGAACGUACCUUGUAGUGGGGGAUAGCUCGGCGAAAGCCGGAUUAAUACCGCAUACGCUCUGAGGAGGAAAGCGGGGGACCUUCGGGCCUCGCGCUACAAGAGCGGCCGAUAUCAGAUUAGCUAGUUGGUGGGGUAAAAGCUUACCAAGGCGACGAUCUGUAGCUGGUCUGAGAGGACGACCAGCCACACUGGGACUGAGACACGGCCCAGACUCCUACGGGAGGCAGCAGUGGGGAAUUUUGGACAAUGGGCGAAAGCCUGAUCCAGCAAUGCCGCGUGUGUGAAGAAGGCCUUCGGGUUGUAAAGCACUUUUGUCCGGAAAGAAAUCCUCUGGGUUAAUACCUCGGGGGGAUGACGGUACCGAAG